GUGUUUUGAUAUGUAAAAUAUUAACUCACCUAAUUACAGAAACACAAGCACAUAACUUUCAAGGCUUUCUUUGAGGAAGAAUUUUGCGAACCAACAACUUAACAACUUUCUCAUCUUGAGGAGCAAUGUUAUGCAGGUUAAUUCUAGGGGUGUCCCGAGCCGAUCUUUGAGAUCGGAAAUCAUUCGAUCUCAGCCGAUCUCAGCAAAAAAACGAGUAUUCGAUCGGAUCUGACUUGAUUGAAAAUCCCAGAGUUUCCCACUUUUAUACAAGCACUCCAUUCCAUGCGCCACUCCAGCACUUUUAUCCAGCUGCGCCCGGACAGUAUGCAGAGCCCACGUGAUCACAGCAGCAGGUUGCUAAAGUGCCACCAUACUAGCAAGCAGUAAGAGUGAAUGUUGUUUGCUUAAAGUGAUUCAUUGACACUCCAGUUAAAGUUCACUGUAAAACUAAAAACACAUAGCAAAAGAAUUACACUUAUUAAAUGUUCAAAUACACCACAGACAUUUCUUCAUUCAUUUUUGUUCACAAAAAUCACUAUCUCCAAGCUAACGCACCAUGAAUGAAAAACACCAUUGACGAGCUAACAAAGAUUAGCAUCAAGCUCGCAGCACUCAUAUCUCUCAAAAUAAUGAAUAUUGGUACAAAAAACGCUAUAUAAACACAUACAAACACAAUAUAACAAUACUCAGACAUAUAUUCUUCAAACUCUGUGAAAACUAGUUUUAUUAACAAUAUUCGAUCGUGACUUCUUCUACUUUCUUUGUUACUACGUGUGUAUCAUAUUGCGUGAACCUCACUGCCCCUCAGAGGUCAAGACGUGCACAGCAGUUACUUUAAGUAACCCAUUCGUUAAUAAUAAAUGGGUAAGUUUUUCUCUCUCAUACUGUUGGGGAUUGUUGUUCUCUAUUUGAGUAAUAUCACUUGAUCAAGCCUUUUCUAACAUUACAUACUACAAAAUAAGUAAAGUACGUAUGAUUAUAACUGAAAUGGGAUGGUGCCGAUAUCAGUAUCGGCCAAAAUUCAAGGCUGCAAUAUCGGUUACAGAUCGGAAGUGAAAAAGUUGGAUCGAGACAUCCCUACUUAAUUCCACAGGGACCUGAAGCAAGGGAGGGAUAUAUCAGGGCUUUUGUGGGGUGCAAGAUGGGCAGAGACCACCUGCCAGGCCUUUGGGCCGUGUAAUAACCAGGAUAAACCCCUUCUUUGCUUUAGGUCUCUGUGAUUAAUCCAUGUGAAAAGAAACAAAUAAAAGCUUCAAUUUGCACAAAUAUUUGUUUUUAUUUACCAAUACCAUUUUUUGCCGUAGAGAACAAGCAACUAAUUAAAAAUCUGAAGUGCAAUGUACACUAACAGUGUACUGUCAACUGCAUAAUUAGGACAUCUGGGUCUGGUUAACUCAUAACAGUUUUCAAUGAAGUGGGACAUACGUGUGAAUUUAUUAGACAGACUAGUGUCCAAGGUUAUCGCAGGUACCAACACUUGCGACAGUAAGACUAGUGAUUAGAAGUAUGAAAUUAAAAUUCAGCAUUACGAAGAUCUUACAGUAUCUUUAAUUCUACAUAAAUAAAAGUACAUCACGACAACUAUACACAUCAGCAAUUGACCCAAACUGGAUUUAAAAAAAAAAAAAAAAAAAAAAAAAAAAAAAAAAAAAACAUCCACCCACCAAGUCCUCCUCCCGUUCAUUUCCAGCGGACCUUUGUCCAAUUUUUUUUUUCAUUCCCACUAUCCACACCGACCGACUGGCACUGAUGACCUGCCAUCGGAAGGCCCCCGCCAGCCGGCCUCGUGCCGGUGUUCAGGCGGACGGCUCCUCUGGCCCGCAGUGUCGCCUCCGACACUGCCUCCUCCCUGGCCAGCCACCCCACUCCUGCAUGAGAUCAGCUCAGUCACCCUCCCGGCUUUGGCUUGGCCACGAAGGCAUCCAUUUUCUGAGCUGCUUAUCCUCACAAGGUCACGGGAGUGCUGGAGGCUAUCCCAGUUAUCAGUCCAUCCAUCCAUCCAUCGAUCCAUCAAUUUUCUACCGCUUAUCUGAGGUCGGGUCACGGGGGCAGUAGCUUUAACAGGGACACCCAGGGAAGAGACCCAGGGGACGACCCAGGAUACGCUGGAGAGACUACGUCUUUCGGCUGGCCUGGGAAUGCCUCCGGAUCCCCCCGGAAGAGCUGGAUGAAGUGGCUGGGGAGAGGGAAGUCUGUUUUUCAGUUAUCAGUCAUAUUAUUCUGCCAGGAUCUGUCAAUUUAUGACCAGAACUGUACAUAUUAUGCAGUCAUACGUACCCAUGUCAUAUUGGAAUGAAAGUGUAGGCUACACUUUUUUCAUAACCACUAGGUGGAUGUGGCAUUUUGGAAUGAAAGUGCACAGCUUUUUCAUAACCACUAGAUCCCGGCAUACAUUUAGAAAAUGUGAAAGUUUUUUUUCCAUUUGCCCCUAUAUCUGUGUAUAAUACGCACUAUUGACUUUUGACAAUUUUUUUUGGGGGGGGUGCGUAUUAUACACGAGAAAUUACGGUACAUGGACAUUCUUGGUCCAGGUCAAAAUUGACCCGGAACAUACAGUACCGUGUGUGCACCGAAUAUGAGCAGUUUGUAAAGGAUGAUGUGAGGAGAUUAAAUCACAACUGAACCACACUGCAUCCUACUGAAAUCCUUUUCUAUUUAUCCCGUCUCAUAUCAUGUAGUUGAAAAUUCAAAUAUUAUGUAAGUAUGUGUUUAACCACCAUGUCAACUUGCGUAUUGUUGAUUGAUCAUAUUAACGUUUAUGUACUCUGACCCAUGUGGUAUGAGGUGUUAAGUAUGUGUAUCGGCUAUUAUGACAAGCAAAGCUUUGUGUCUUUGUUGCUCCUUGUGUUGUUCUAGUAUCACUUACAUCCUGAUGUGGUCAUGAGACCUUGUGUUUUGCACCUUCCGGUGCCCCUUCUGAUCUCUUUUGACCUUAUGGUCUGGUUUAGCUGUCUGGAGACACACACAAACAACCAUCAGACCACACAUCAGACCAUAUUGUAAUUCCAAAUAAUGUAGAGAGUUACCGAGAUUUACUUUCAGAUAUCAUCCUAAAUAUCACAUUUGGGGCUGGCCAUAACGUUAGGUACACCUGGGCAAUAAUGAGCUCCAAGACAAGAAUUGUAUAAUAAUUUUGCCUUUAAAAUUACAAUCCUCUUUUUUUUUUUUUUUCUUAACACUGUCAAGCGGUAUUCAUUUAAUGAUGUUUUUAUUGUGGUUGUUAUUUUCAGUGGUGUCGAACUGCGCUCCAUUAUGCUGAAGAUUGAUGUUAAUGUUAUUUAGAUACAUUUGAAGGGUCAAAAUGUUAGAAACAUCUCUCUGUAUGAUACAGAAAACCCAACUGUUAUGCAUAUUGUUUAGGAGUCAUUGAAAGACAUUGAUUUCUAAUGAUCAUGAACAAAACACUGCUGAUAAUGAAACUUGUCUUGAGGUAUAUUUGUUUCUUUACCUUUAUCUUGUAUUGAUUAAAAACUUAGAUUGAUUCCAGAAAAUCUUGCAUUAUUUUAGUUGCGGUAUAGAAAACAUAAAGAAGUGGCAUUAAGCUGUGGAUCUUUCAAGCUCAUUUAGACCUCCCACACCUUGGCAGAGGCAGGCUGACCUUUUAGUUUAUCCCUUUGUCUCAGGGGAGAAGCAGAUGCUCAAGAAAAUAAAUAGAGCAUUCGAGGCGCCCUUUCUUCUUUCCACAAAGAGCUAGAAUCAAUAAUAAACAAAUUCCAUCUUC